CGCCAACUCCGGUCAGUGGUCUCCGGCACGCCCUCGCGACUUGACGAGGCAGAGAUGUGCCGAGGAUCCCCACGCCCUUGGUUCUCAUGUUCUCUGCUCCCAGCCGCAACAGAUCGUCCCAAAGGCAUUAUCGUGAGGAGGGAAGCGGCCGCAGAUUAAGGACAGCGCGGUUUAAGAGCAUGGUCAUAGUCUAGGAGCACACCCGGUGGUCGGCG
rnacentral:rRNA from 1 species